rnacentral:rRNA from 1 species
AUUGAACGCUGGCGGCAUGCUUUACACAUGCAAGUCGAACGGUAACAGGCCUUCGGGCGCUGACGAGUGGCGAACGGGUGAGUAAUGCAUCGGAACGUGCCCAGUCGUGGGGGAUAACGCAGCGAAAGCUGUGCUAAUACCGCAUACGAUCUGCGGAUGAAAGCGGGGGACCUUCGGGCCUCGCGCGAUUGGAGUGGCCGAUGUCAGAUUAGGUAGUUGGUGGGGGAAAGGCUCACCAAGCCCACGAUCUGUAGCUGGUCUGAGGGGACGACCAGCCACACUGGGACUGAGACACGGCCCAGACUCCUACGGGAGGCAGCAGUGGGGAAUUUUGGACAAUGGGCGCAAGCCUGAUCCAGCAAUGCCGCGUGCAGGAAGAAGGCCUUCGGGUUGUAAACUGCUUUUGUACGGAGCGAAAAGGCUCCCUCUAAUACAGGGGGCUCAUGACGGUACCGUAAGAAUAAGCACCGGCUAACUACGUGCCAGCCGCCGCCGUAAGAC